UACACAUGUGAUAUGUUGCUGAAACGAAGCAAGGAAACACCAUACCAAAACAAUUCAUAUUUAACGUAGCCACUUUUGUUUUGAUUUCAGUAAUUCGUCGGUGACGGAUUGUCAGUCGGUUUGUACGUACGACGGGAUAGGUGUACGUAGUGCCUUUCGUUCGGUUCCAAUUGGAUUAUGUGCCGCUUGUGUGAUCGAAUAAUUUAGUGGUGAUUUUAUGCAAAAAAAUAAACCUCAACCCUGUUCCGGUUGGAUUCCCAUGCGGCUGUAAAGUGAACUGGUCAAGCGACUCCAAUCAAACUGGAUAUGAUAUAUGUGCAUUGGUGGUGUCAGAGAACAGUUUGCCCCAUUUCUAGUUUGCCUCCGAGUAUUGAUCGCAGGAUUGUACGCUUGAAGACCCCAAGCGCUCGUUGAUCGGCCCCUUUCACGUUCAUGGAGCGCCUCCUGGAGAAUCUGAGUCCUGUAGAGCGCAAAUUUCAUACGGAUCAUAUGUACUGCCGGUAACCAAUCGGAGGGACGAACCACGCAGCCAGUAGAAUUAUUCUGCCCGGACGUGUGACACCUCCGUUACCGUUCCCGCCGAGCAAAGCUGGAGUCGUGUCGUAAAUCGGUAAUCUCACGAAGGUCACCGCAGCAGUGACGGACGCCGUUCGUUCGGUCGAAAGCAACAGGCAAUCCAGGCCCCGAUCACGAUGCUUCCGGGUGGUUUCGGCUUGGUGCGAAAAUAGGAAUCAGUAUUUUGUCGCGGCCCGCGUUGUGAGAGAAGUGUAUUUGCCGCAGAGGGGAAAAUUGUUUUAGUCAGCCUAUCCGGACAGGAAGUAGAGUGCAGGAAGAAAAAAAGUUUAGACGCGCUUGUGAUUAGAGUGUUUGGGGGGCGUUUGUUUAUAGUGUGCAAUUUGGGAUAGUGCGUCGCCAGUGAUUAUUACAACUAAAGUUUAUGUGCGCGAAAGUGGGUGUCGGAACAGGUUACUCUUCGCCCCCAGUACUGCCGGUGUCCUUGUUCCAGUCGCAGCUAGCAGCCGUAGCACCGCCAUCAUACAUACAAUCGCCAAGGGCAGUAGCAGCAAAGUGACCAGCUAGAAUGGUCGCUAGUGGUUCCGCUUCCGAGCAGCAGCAGCCAGCGGAAGCUCAGCGACAAAGCCAGCAACAAUGUCGAAGCCAGUGUCACUAUCACUCGCAGAACCGGUGGCGAGCUUUGGGGCUUAGUGUGAUCACAAAUCAGCACAAAUGGCAGCGGAGGUACCACUUGGGUAGUGUUUCCGGCUCGGUGGCCCUGCCAUCGUCCUUACUGGUACUGCUAAUAUGCGCAGUGCUCUCAUCGACGGUUCCUAGCAGCUACGGUGCACUAACCGUUGCGGGCCAAAACGGAACCAUCUCCGCGGACCGGCUUACGUUGAUAUCAUUAGCCAAAUUAAUUUCGACCAAUGAUGUUGAUUAUGUUAAUACAAGUAACGAGCAUAAUGUGUCGAAUAAUAAUUAUAAUAAUGUUAGCACCGAUGCCAUAAUUAAUAGUAGUAGUGCAGCGGAUAGCGGAGCGAAUCGGUUCGGUACAAGGAGGCCCAACGGCGGUGCCCGCGGCCAACGUGUACCGAUCUAUCUGAACGAGUUCGCUGUCUACAUCCCGAACGGUCCGGGCAUCGCUGAUAUCAUCGCCGAUAAGUAUGGCUUCACCAAUUUCGGACAGAUCGGUCCACUGAAAGGAUAUUAUUUAUUUCACCAUAGUCACGUUAGGAAGCGAUCCCUAGAUAGAAGCGAAGCCCACCACAACGCACUCAAUGUCGAACCGGAGGUUCGAUGGAUGCAGCAGCAGCACGAGAAAAUCCGCCGGAAACGCGACUACUCGACGUUCGAUGCGGACUUCGUGCGUUUCCCGGACCCGCGCUCGAUCGCACCGGCCAGUCGGGUCGGCUAUCGAGACACCGGGGCACACAACAUCUUCCCGGAUCCGCUCUUUAAGGAGCAGUGGUACCUGGUGAGUAGAAAUGGUGGCGCCAAGGAUGGCCUCGACAUGAACGUUGGUCCGGCCUGGCAGAAAGGCUACACGGGGAAGGGCGUCGUGGUGUCGAUCCUUGACGACGGCAUCCAGCGGAACCAUCCGGACCUGCAGCAGAACUAUGAUCCGGACGCCUCAUACGACAUCAACGGGAACGACUCGGACCCGAUGCCACGGGACAAUGGCGACAAUAAGCAUGGAACCCGAUGCGCGGGAGAGGUCGCAGCUGUGGCAUUCAAUAAUUACUGCGGCGUUGGAGUGGCGUACAACGCCAGCAUUGGAGGAGUACGGAUGCUGGAUGGAACCGUCAACGAUGCCGUCGAGGCAAAGGCGUUAGGUCUAAAUCCGGAGCACAUUCACAUCUACAGUGCUUCUUGGGGUCCGGAAGAUGAUGGUUCCACCGUUGAUGGUCCCGGACCGUUGGCUCGGAGAGCAUUCAUCUUCGGGGUUACCAGCGGACGGCAGGGCAAGGGAUCAAUCUUUAUCUGGGCCUCGGGCAAUGGAGGCCGCUACACCGAUAGCUGCAACUGUGAUGGCUAUACCAAUUCUAUCUUCACGCUAUCUAUUUCUAGUGCAACUCAGGGAGGCUAUAAACCCUGGUAUCUGGAGGAAUGCUCAUCAACGCUGGCCACUACGUAUAGCUCCGGGACACCAGGACAUGACAAAAGCGUUGCCACCGUCGAUAUGGAUGGAUCACUGCGACCGGAUAGAAUUUGCACGGUCGAACAUACGGGAACAUCCGCGUCGGCUCCGUUGGCGGCAGGCAUAACUGCUCUUGCCCUGGAGGCAAACCCAUCGCUUACGUGGCGUGAUAUGCAAUAUUUGGUUGUUCUGACAUCGCGUCCCGAGCCACUGGAAAAAGAAUCCGGAUGGAUUCUGAACGGCGUGAAGAGGAAAGUUAGUCACAAAUUCGGUUACGGUUUGAUGGAUGCUGGCGCGAUGGUUAGCUUGGCAGAGCAAUGGACAAGUGUUCCUCCACAGCACAUCUGUAAAUCGCGUGAGAUCAACGAAGAUCGACCGAUUGAAGGAUCGGUUGGAUACACCCUGCAGACGCAUAUGGACGUGAAUGGCUGCGCCGGAACGGUCAAUGAGGUUCGCUUUCUGGAACACGUCCAGUGCAAAAUUACUCUACGCUUCUUCCCACGAGGGAAUCUCCGUAUUCUUCUAACCUCACCGAUGGGAACGACGAGUACUUUGCUCUUUGAACGACCGCGAGACGUAACCAAAUCCAACUUUGACGAUUGGCCAUUCUUAAGUGUACAUUUCUGGGGUGAAAAAGCCGAAGGACGAUGGACUCUGCAGAUCCUAAACGGAGGUCAUCGUCGGGUUAGCCAACCGGGUAUUCUAUCCAAAUGGCAGCUCAUAUUCUAUGGAACCGAUCAGAACCCAAUCCGGCUGAAGAACGAAGGCCAGCGAAGCUCCAGUGCGUACGCCAGUCUGAAUCCGUUUGUUUUCCCAACCGAAACGGACAUCAAUCAGCCGGCUCUCAGCGGGGGCAACUUCUACCAGCAGGACUUAUAUUCGAACUCUAUGAACUAUCCGUACCUAUUCAGCGGGGCCGGUAGUGGAAUCGACAAGACGGUCACAACUCUCAACGGUCACAACAUCCCGACAGCACAGCGGGAAAACGUAAUGGCCGAUUCCAACAAUAAACUCGUGGUGUUACAUGACUGCGACCCCGAAUGUGAUCAGCAGGGUUGCUAUGGAAAAGGACCAACGCAGUGCGUUGCCUGUAAGCACUACCGACUGGACAAUACAUGCGUUAGCCGUUGUCCACCACGCAGUUUCCCGAAUCAGGGUGGAGUGUGCUGGCCCUGUCACGAGUCCUGUGAAACUUGUGCCGGUGCGGGGCAGGACAGCUGCCUAACCUGUGCCCCCGCUCAUCUGUAUGUCACUGAUCUGGCCGUUUGUCUACAGAUCUGUCCCGAUGGGUACUUCGAAAACUACGAUAACCGAACAUGUGUUCCGUGCGAGGCCAACUGUGCAUCCUGUCAGGACCGACCGGACUACUGCACCAGCUGUGAUCAUCAUUUAGUUAUGCAUGAACACAAGUGCUACUCGGCCUGCCCCAAGAAUACUUACGAAACGGAGGAUUACAACUGUGCCGAUUGUCACUCGUCCUGCAUGACCUGCAAUGGAUCGUCGGAGUCCCAGUGCAUCCUGUGCCGUGCCGGACGCUUCGCUCACGAGGGUCGUUGCCUGAAUGCUUGCCCGGAUGGGUUCUUCGGCGAUAAAAAACGGCACGAGUGCAUGCCGUGCCCGAUAGGAUGCUCGACCUGCAGCAGUGGCCAGAUCUGCACCGGGUGCCGCGACAACUGGACCAUGAACAAGAAGAGCAAAUGCAUCGCCAACGGGAGCAACAACUGUGAUGAAUCGGAAUAUUACGAAAACGGCCAUUGUCACCCAUGCCAUUCGACCUGUGAAACCUGUACCGGUCCGACGGAGCACGAGUGUCUCAAGUGCACCUCGCCGCUGCUCCUGCAGCAUCAGCGCUGCGUAAACGAGUGCGACGAAGGAUACUACAUGGAGGUGGGCAUCUGUGCGAAAUGCCUGCAUACUUGCACCCAGUGCGUAUCGCGGAUGAAUUGCACCGCCUGUCAGAAGGGGCUGCAGUUGCAAAGCGGUGAAUGUCGGACUACCUGCGCGGACGGAUACUACAGCGAUCGGGGCACCUGUGCCAAAUGCUACCUGAGCUGCAACACAUGCAGUGGACCAAGACGAGAUCAGUGCGUCAAAUGUCCUGAGGGUUGGCAGUUGGCGGGAGGCGAAUGCCACCCGGAAUGCCCCGAAGGCUUCUUCAAGACGAAAUUCGGAUGCCAGAAGUGCCAUCACUAUUGCAAAACUUGUAACGCUGCUGGUCCACUGGCUUGUACUUCCUGUCCGUCUCACUUCAUGCUUGACGGGGGACUCUGCAUGGAGUGUCUCGGCUCGCAGUUCUACGAUCCGCCUACGCAAACGUGCAAAACCUGUCACGAAAGCUGCCGGACGUGCAGCGGGCCUGGACAAUAUUCCUGCGUUACGUGCGCCUUCCCACUGCACCUGGACCGACUCAAUAACCAGUGUGUGCCUUGCUGCGCGAGCGACGCUUCGCCCGACGACCAAAGCUGCUGUCAUUGCGAUAAGGGAACUGGAGGCUGCAUAAACUCGUCCCCAGCCGGUAAACGGCGCAUCGGAGCCGAACAGCAAUUACUUCAGUUCGGUGAUGAAGCCAGCGCGAGUAACAUCGAUAGCAACGUGAUGGAAUUCAACGGCCAGCGGACAGCACUGGGUCAGUUGCUGCAAAGUGUUUCGCCCUCAACCAUGACCGUUCUAGCCAUCUCCGGCUGUCUUCUGAUAGUAACCCUGUUCGUUGUGAUUUUCAGUGUUCUACAGCAGAAGCGAAGCCACAGCGUGUACACCAGCGUGAAAUACAAUAAACUUGGCACCGGCCGGAAACCAUCGUCGGCUACAACCACAAGGAUAGCCAUUCCAGCCGAUGGCGAAGCUUUAUUGGAACCGAUUGUAAAUAAUUCUGAUGAUGAAGAGCCGGAGGAGAAUGACGACGACAAUGACGACGACGACGACGUCGAUGAGGAUCAUGAUGAUCACAGCGAGGACCGUGUGGGGGGACUACUGACACUAGAUGAUGACCACGAGAUCCUGGAUGGAACGACUGCUAUGGGCAUCAACAGCGGCAGCAGUAACCGUGGCAGCCGUUUUGUGGCCACAGGUCGUGUACCGCGACGAGGGACAAAGCAGCCCUCCAAGCGGUUUGAAAGGACUUGAAAAGCUGCUUUCUAGGUCAACAGCAGCAACCGGGCAAAGGGGAAACGGGAUGGUCGCGGGAAUUGGUAAACGUGUGCUAUAAUAGGCGAUAACAAAUUACUAUAAAUAUUUACUCAAGCGAGUGGAUGCGUGCGAGCGAGAAAGCAAACGGCGGAAGGUGGGUGGAGCGAAAAAUCAAACGACGACCAGCACCAUACUGCAAACGGGGGUGGCGGGUGGCAGGAGGGAUGCUUUUAUGCGAAGUGGAAUAUUUUUCCUGCCAAUGAUAUUGUUUAUUCUACGAGCCUAGAGGAAUACUUGACGACUGGAGCAAAAUGUAGCACAUCCACACGUACAACUUCGUGUUCUUUAGAAAGAGGGAGAAUGCAAGAAAAAAAAGAAGCAAAACAGUGCGCCGGUAAAUUAAUCACAAAAUUGCAACUUCUAUAAAAUGGAAAAUAAUCAAUGAAAGGACUUCGCUUAGGUCACUACGACUCUCAAAUCAAUUUUUUUUUGGUCAAAAUAAUUUUGAUCAGGUGCCGCUUUGAAAAUAGUUCGCAUCACUUAGAAUGGGCAGAUAUCACGUGUUUCCGAAGAGAUAAAGUGUUGCGGUAUUCAGCAAAUUCGUUCAGACUCAGGCUUCUGGAUGGUGCUAAGUGUACUUAAUUCGCCGUGUUCUGAUCAUAACUCCCGCGAUUCUUACUUUCUAGAAACUGGUGGUAAUGUCUACUAAGAUAUAUUUCAACUUCGUGGGUAUUGCUGAACGAUGGACGCCGCUAUCCACAUGGCCACAAAACCUCUGUGUCACACACUUAAUGUUGCAUGUCGUAUUCUGCUCAAAUUAAAACACUUUUUCCGAAUUAACACAGACAUUUAUAAAUCAAUCAUUAAAAAGAUAUUGAAAACAAAAUAAUUUGAAAUACUCAAUUUCUUUUAAAAGAUUCAUUUGCUGAGUUGUUUAAUACUGCAAUUUUUGAAAUAGGUGGACUUUCUAUAUAACUUCAGUUUAUAAGACUCAAUACAAGACACAGAACAGCGCCACGAAGUGGCGUUAUUUCCAACCAAACUGUCCACAAACCAAACAUUCAAGAGGUUCUAAACAAAUUUGCUGAAGACCAAAGCUUUCUAAGCGGUUGGGUGCACGAGUACGAAACACGUGAGACUACAUGCACACUAGCGCCACGUAGCAGAAUUCUUUACCAAACUGUAUAACAAUCAGGAGCCCUUACCCUUAUGGACAAUUUUGCUGAAAUCUACAUCUUUCUAACUGGUUGGAUGCAUGAGAUAAAUUGAGUUCGAAAUAUUCGAAACUACAUGCAGACUAACGCCGCGUUACGGUUUAAUGUCGAAUCAAUUGCACCAAUUUAAAGCCCUUGGCCUCUUCAACAACUUUGCUGAAGAUCACAACUUUCUAAAUGGUAGGAUUCUCAAGAUAAAUUUUUCUUUUUUUUACUCCUUACUAUAAGCUUACACGCGCCUUGUAGUGGCUGAAUUUCUAAACAAACUUAAUAUACAGUUUGUUGAACAACCUUGCAAAAUGAUCGGAUUCGCGAGAUAAAAUACACAAAACUGCAGACACACUAGCGCCGCUAUGCGGUCAAAUCAAUUGCACAAGUCCUUGCUUUUAGCCCUUGACAUAUAUAACAGCUUUGCUGAAGAUCGCAAGUCUCUCUAAGCGGUGGAAUUUUCGGAAAAAAAUUAAGCUCAAAAAAAAUUUUGAGUGCACACUAGCGCCGCGUUGCAACUAAACUCCGAACAAUACUGUCCGUCGAUCACAAGCUCUUGACCUUCUGAACAACUUUGAUGAAGAUCACUACUCUCUAGGUUACCGGGAUGAGGCGAAUAAGUUACAUAAAUCUGCUCAUGAUAGGUGAAGCUGAACUUUUCGGGGUGCUGCAAUUUUCAUACUGGGUGUUGCAAUAUUUAGUUAAGCGAUUCCAAACUUAUGGCAGGUAGUGUAUGUACGUUAUUAAUCAUUUUAUUUCUUGUUAAAAUUUAUAUGUGAAACUUUCAACAUUGCUGAAUGUUCAAAACAAAUCAUUCUGAGCAACUCAAAACUUAAAGGCUAUUCUGAGGAAAUUGAAAGCAAGAUUUUUAAAAAAAAAGUUAAAAAGGUUGAGUAUGAGAUACGGACGCAUGGUUAACGUAGAAUUGCGACAGCCUGUCUUACGUCAAUUAAUUUCUCGCCGCAGGUUGGGGAAUACACCCGAUUCAGUGGUCUGAAGCGGUAAAUUUCACUAUUAUUUCUCUUUCACCAAGGAGCGCUGCUUAAAGUGGCUGAAGCAGAAUUGUUGGUAGACCUCUUCAACGUCCAAAGACAAAACGAACGGUUGUGUGCAAAGCCACGACCGCAAAGGUGAAAAAAAAACAAAAAUUUGUUACAUUACUUGCAUUCGCGAGUGAUCGCAAGCGAUAAGUUCAAAGCAAACUUCUCCUUUUUAAUGAUUCUUUGAAUGAUAAACGUCAUGGAUACUAUUUUUUAUCAAGAUGUUUUUAUCAAUAACUUUUAUCUAACACUAAUUUAGGAAAUAAUUUGAUGGCCCGGAUAAGUUUCAAAAUUUCGUCUGGGGUCGUUUCCCGAUUACAAAAAUAUCCAUUUUGGGUGGUAUUUGAUCUGUUCUGGCCGUUUUUUCAAACCCAAAGUCACCAUCUUGAAUUUCAAAACAACGUCUGAAGUCGAAAUUCGGCCUCUCAUCUCGAUAUCAUCUCGAUUUUGGAAAAUAAAUAUUGGGCCAUUUGUCAUACAUUGGGUGGUAUUCGGCCAUUUUGAACUGUUUUCCGAACCAUCUUGAAUUUCAAAAUGGCUCCUGGAGUCAGUCUCUUUGCAUCAUUCUGAUUCCAGAAAUAGGUACCCAUAUUUGGUAGUAUUUGGUCAUUUUUUAUUGAAUUCCAGGAACCGGAAGUUGUAACCAUGGGUUUCAGAAUGGUAUCUGGGUUUUUUUUUCAGAGCUCUUGGCAAUAUUACGAUCCUAGAAUUGAACAGAUAAGGGGCCAUCCACAUACCACGUGGACAGCUUUGGGGGGAGGGGUUUGGCUAAUGUCCACGGUCCAUACAUUUUUUUCAAAAUUUAUAUGGGCAGUUGUCCACGGAGGGGGAGGGGGGGGGUCAAACUCAUUAAAAAUGUGUCCACGUGGUAUGUGGAUGGCCCCUAAGGUGGAUUUGGUCAUUUUUUACUGAAUUCCGGGAACCAGCAGUCGCCAUCUCAAACUUCAGAAUGGAGUCUGGAGUUUCCGGUCGCUGGGCAUUAUCUCUUUUCCGAAAAUACCCAUAUUGGGCGGUGUUCGGCCAUUUUAGACUGUUUUCCAGAAACCUGUAGUUGCAACCAUGGAUUUGUAAAUUACGUCUGGAGGCGAUUUCAGGUCGUGUAUGAAAUAUCCAUAAUGAGUGGUAUUUGAUCUCGAACAGCAGAAGUCACCAUCAUGAAUUUCAAAACGGCGUCUGCAGUACAUUUUUGGCACCAGGGAUUAUCUCGAUUCCAUGUUGAGCAUAUUGGCCCGAAUGGCAUUGUAGGUUGUUUCACAGCAACCGGAAGGCACCAAUUUGAAAGUAAAAAUGGCAUCUGGGGUCUGUAAAUAUCAUUAUGGUUCUAAAAGUAGCAAUAGUGGAUGAUAUUUGGUCUUGUUUUCAGCACUGAUUGGCUGAUAUCAUCGUUUAAAACAUUGGUUCUAAAUAAUUUUCCAAUCGAUUGUUAUAAAAGACAGGGAAUCUGUAGAAAACUGAGUUAUUAGCAAUUGAACUUGGACUUGGAGCUUUCAACAAAGUUGGUUUGAAGAUGCAAUUUAGAAAAAUUACUGCUAACAACAAAAUCAGAAAAACUUUCCCUUGACUUGAAAGGAAUUCAGUAAUAUAAACAAUCAAUGCUCCUUAAAUGUAAUGAAAAACGAUAGCAAUUUACCGUUUUGACAUGACUUUGCUCGCCUAUCGCGGUUAUCAAUAAUUUCUAUGGCUAACAACACAUAUUCCAUUCCAAUACUUCAUUUACGCGUUUCCAAAAACAAAAUAACUGUACUUUUGAAAAUUGUUGGCAACACCGUCUGACAGACACGACUCUGUACACGUUAAAAUAGUGUUGAGUAAUUUCCAACUUCAUAGACUUUCAAAGAUAUGCUAUGUUUCUUACAAGUAUAAAAUGCAUGUGAAUUUAUAUAACAGACAACUUAGAAAAAUAACUCUCUUUUCUAGUGGUUGGAUUAUUUGAACUCUUUGGGCAAAAUUAAACCAUGUAGAGUUCAGAAUGUAAGCAUGAUUUUUUAUAACUACUAAAUAAAACAGCUCCCCUUAAGUUACGUUCGUAACUUAGAGGUAAAGUGAGCGUCAAGAAAAGAACACAACCACUGAAAAGAUGAUAGUAUAAUUUUAUGGUAACACUGAUCAACAACAGGUUUUACUCUAAGACUCCAACUGGAAAAAAGCCGUCUACGAAAAGCGCCAAAAAGCCACUGAGUAAUUGCUCACCGGAUUCGUUGUUCCUCAGCCAGAAAGGCUAUAAACUUUCUUUUUUUCCAGUGUGAGAUUCAUUGGAAAUUUUUUAACUAAUUUGAAGGCUAGUGUAAUUCAGAUAUUGCCAAUUAAACUAUUUACUGUUCACUUUUUCUUUUCAUAAAUAAUGUUUAUGAAUUUUCUUCUACUAUAUUUUAAACUACUACGUGUUUUCGAAAAACUGACCACGCUCUUUGUUCAAAUAAAUACAUUACAAUAUUGGUUACAUCAAUUGAUUAUGCUGUGAAUAACUGUUUACCUUUUUUCCCAUGGUUCCAAAAAAACAGCCUUCGUAACACUGAUACGGUACCAAAAGGUAAUGAUAACUGUUGAUGUUCACUUGGCUUUCUAUGCGUUUCAAAUUAAGUUAACCAGAAAAAAUACCACCCCGGGAAACAGUUGACUGUAACAAUAGCUAAAUAUCAGAGAACUUGCUUUCAAUUUGAACUAAACGCUAAUCUACCAAGACCACGUUUACCAACCGACGCAAACAUUGUUGUGAAUCGCAAGCAGAAACCGUAGAUCUUUUUCCACAGUUAGGAGCAAUUGUUAAUAAUGUAAAAUAUGUAAAUAAACCCUAGAAUCGUUUGAACUGAAAAAAAAACACUGACGCACUGCGCUGCAGAUCAAAAGUUACCCAAACCGGAUGCGGCCAGAGAAAGGACAGAUUGGUUUUACCGUAACGACCGGACAUGACUGCGAAGAGGCCUCUGGUUCUCGGACGAUU